CACGAACGCUGGCGGCAGGCUUAACACAUGCAAGUCGAACGAGAUCUUCGGAUCUAGUGGCAGACGGGUGAGGAACACGUGGGAACAUCCCUUUCAGUUCGGAAUAACGUUGGGAAACUAACGCUAAUACCGGAUACGUCCUUCGGGAGAAAGAUUUAUCGCUGAAAGAUUGGCCCGCGUCUGAUUAGCUAGUUGGUGAGGUAACGGCUCACCAAGGCUACGAUCAGUAGCUGAUCUGAGAGGAUGAUCAGCCACAUUGGGACUGAGACACGGCCCAAACUCCUACGGGAGGCAGCAGUGGGGAAUAUUGGACAAUGGGCGCAAGCCUGAUCCAGCCAUGCCGCGUGAGUGAUGAAGGCCUUCGGGUUGUAAAGCUCUUUUGUCCGGGUAGAUAAUGACUGUACCGGAAGAAUAAGCCCCGGCAAACUUCGUGCCAGCAGCCGCGGUAAGAC
rnacentral:rRNA from 1 species